rnacentral:sRNA from 1 species
UAAAGUUACGUAUGUCAUGAGAGUGCU